UUUUAAAACUGCAUAUUCCUCUAAGACAAAAAGCACGAGCUAAGCAGUCCUCUCUGUAACAAAAACGCUGUAGCAAACCUACAGCUGAGAACAGUGAAGCUUUUUGCUUCCCAGAUCCAAGAUAACCUUGUCCUGGUACAUUGACUUGCAACAUACUUCCGGGAGCAGAGCCAGAGAACGAAAAGCAACAUUUCUAUGUAAGAAUCUGUGAGGGGUUUGAAAAAAGGAUAAAAGCUGCUUGUAAAAUGUUUUCGGCGCAGCCUGUCUUUUGUAAACUGAAUCACACAGGUGCCUCUGCCCCCGCCCCCAUGGCAGAAUAAAACGCUCUUUCUCUGGAUUAACCCCUUGGUGUCGUUUGGUUCCUUUUGUCUCUGCUCGGGUGCAACAAUUAUUCCUACCAAUGAAUUAAAAAGGCUUCAUAUUUCUGGCGCAUCGGGCCGGGAAAAAGCACGUUCCCCGAGAUUGAGGGACAAAAAGGUCCAGGGCGUCACUGCAAGGCGAGCAGCUCAGGAUCCCGGGUCAACAGUUCCAGCGCGCAUCCUGCCAACUUCGUGGGAGGGACUGGGCACCCGUUCCUGAGUGGACACGCGACAAGUGACGGAGAGAAAGAGCAACGGCCGUGCAGAAAGAAGGUACCUCGAGGAACAAGGUAGGCUUGGGAGCAAAGAGAGUUUGAUCAGCUCCACCAGUAGGGCAGUAAAAGGUGCCACUGGUUUUGGUUUUGCCCAGAAAAGCAGCAAAAAGGGUGCUGCUGGGCACCGGUCAAAGUCUAAGCGCUGCCGGUUGUGGUUUUGGUGUUGGUAAAAAGGGGAUUGGGGGAGGUGCAUGGGUUUCUGAAUGUGCGUGUGGGGACACUCCAGCGAAUGUUUUGAGUGUGCGAUACGUUGAAAGCAACGUCUGGCCUGUGACUGAGUGGAAAAAAAUAACGUUAGGAGGGCUGAGUGUCCCAGUGUCCCCAGGAUCCCAGAGUCAUGGGAAAUAAAAGCAGUAAAACAAUUCUUGAGACACCACUACAGAGCUUUCUGGAAAACUGGAAAAGUGCCACGAAAGCAGAAGAAAAAAAGGCAGACUCCAACAUUUAUGUGAAGUUGACUGGCCUUCGUAUUUACCAGAAUGGGCUCCUGGAGGAUCCUUUGAUCCAAACUUGGUCAACAUUUUAUGGAGUAACAUUUUCAAGGCCCACACAGAUCAGAUUCCCUAUAUUUCUAUCUGGAAAGCCAAUGUGGAUCAAAAUCCCUCAUGGCUUCGGAAAAAUAGAAUUGUGACUGCCCAAGUCAAACUGUGUUCAGUACAAUUACAAGUUAAGAAGCCACCAGUUUUGCCAGUCCUGGAAGAGGAGAUAAUUACCCCCCCACCACCAUAUGCAGCAACUGCGCCAAGGCAACCAAAUCUGGGAGCAAAUAGGGCUGCUUCUCCGCCCAAAGCCCAGACUGAGGACCCAAAUGAGAAGAUUCCCCCCUCUGCCCCUCCCCAACCCCCAUGUGAUGCAAGCAAGGAAGGUGAAGAGAAAGGUGGUGAUGAUGAUGAAGAUUUCAGAAAAACUCUAGAUAAAGAGAUAAGAUGGACUAGUAAGCAGUUUGACAGAGUGUUCCAGUAUGUAGAACUGUUUAAAACAGAGCUGGAUGUGGCUUCUUGGUUCUAGAAGCAGCCCAGUGCCAGGAUGAGAAUUGGAGAAAAAAGCAAAAGGUUUUGAGAACAGCGUGGGACAGGGCAACAAAACCUGUAGAGACACUUAAAUCUAAGGCUUUGUCCAAACCCACUGUGGUGGCCCCUCUCCGGCAAGUGCAUGAUCCUUUGGAACAGCCAAAUGGUCAGGGCGUUAGACCCCCAAGGACCUUUACCAUUCAACAUGUCCCUUUUACAAGCUCCG
rnacentral:lncRNA from 1 species